UACGUAGGGGGCAAGCGUUGUCCGGAUUUAUUGGGCGUAAAGAGCGUGUAGGCGGCCAGGUAGGUCAGCUGUGAAAACUCGAGGCUCAACCUCGAGACGUCGGUUGAAACCACCUGGCUAGAGUCCGGAAGAGGAGAGUGGAAUUCCUGGUGUAGCGGUGAAAUGCGCAGAUAUCAGGAAGAACACCCGUGGCGAAGGCGGGUCUCUGGGCCGAUACUGACGCUGAGGAGCGAAAGCGUGGGGAGCGAACAGG
rnacentral:rRNA from 1 species